rnacentral:rRNA from 1 species
UACGGAGGGAGCUAGCGUUGUUCGGAAUUACUGGGCGUAAAGCGUACGUAGGCGGACUAUUAAGUCAGGGGUGAAAUCCCGGGGCUCAACCCCGGAACUGCCUUUGAUACUGGUAGUCUCGAGUCCGGAAGAGGUGAGUGGAAUUCCGAGUGUAGAGGUGAAAUUCGUAGAUAUUCGGAGGAACACCAGUGGCGAAGGCGGCUCACUGGUCCGGUACUGACGCUGAGGUGCGAAAGCGUGGGGAGCAAACAGG